UUUUUACAUGUUUAUUUCCAUUUCACUAGAUUAAAAAAGAAACGAAAAUCCUUCACUAGAACAACACAAGUCAAAUCUUCAAACCCUUACCAUAUCCUGAGAAUAUUGGCUUAAAUCCUUAGGAACCCAACCUAAACACCACCACUACUCCUCUCCUUUGCAGCUCAUUGCCUCUUGUAUUGUUCCUUGCUGCCCACAUGCCAUUGCAUCCUCUCCUUCGUCACUUGUUGCCCACCAUGUCCUCUCUUAUGUCACUUUCCACUUACCACAUCACCUUUCAUUUCUUUGAUGGUGAAGAAGAGAUCUCACAAUCUCACAAGUUCUCUUUGAUAGUGGCGGACAAUGUAGCAUCAGCUAAUGUACAUCAGUGAUGGGUGGUGGCACCGUGCAACACCCUAGAGAGAAGAGAAAAAAGGGAAGAGGAUGGGAAGGGUUAGGAGUUAAAAAGUAUUAGACUCAAACUAAGGAUAUUAAGAAAUGGGUUCAUAGGACCAAUGAGCUAAGGUCCGAAACAAAGUAGACUUUGAGCCUGUCCAAAUCAAGCCAAAGCAAAUUCAAGCCUAAAUUUUGAGGCUUCGGCUCAACCCCAUUAUUCAUUUUCAUAACCCCAGCCCAGCCCUAAGCCAGCCAAGCCCAGUCAGCACGUGCCCAGCUCUAGCCAUUAGCAACCUUGAUCAUC
rnacentral:lncRNA from 1 species